UCGUGGAUCGCCCAUGUGGACCGACCCGAUCCGACCCAAUUUGUUUCAUGCCUUAUCCAAAUUAAUUAAUUAAUAAUUAAUUGGAUAAAUCAUUUUAAAGGAUAAGGCAGAACAAUUACUUUGUAACUGUUCAACCUCUCCUUAAAAGACUCCUAGUGAGAGUGUUUUCCUAAGGAAUGUGAAACGUGAAAACAGAGAGAGGAAACGUAAAAAAAUAC
rnacentral:lncRNA from 1 species